rnacentral:rRNA from 1 species
GUGACCUCAAAUCAGGUAGGACUACCCGCUGAACUUAAGCAUAUCAAUAAGCGGAGGAAAAGAAACUAACAAGGAUUCCCCUAGUAACUGCGAGUGAAGCGGGAAAAGCUCAAAUUUAAAAUCUGGCAGCCUUUGGCUGUCCGAGUUGUAAUCUAGAGAAGUGCUAUCCGCGCUGGACCGUGUACAAGUCUCCUGGAAUGGAGCGUCAUAGAGGGUGAGAAUCCCGUCUUUGACACGGACUACCAGGGCUUUGUGAUGUGCUCUCAAAGAGUCGAGUUGUUUGGGAAUGCAGCUCAAAAUGGGUGGUAAAUUCCAUCUAAAGCUAAAUAUUGGCGAGAGACCGAUAGCGAACAAGUACCGUGAGGGAAAGAUGAAAAGAACUUUGGAAAGAGAGUUAAACAGUACGUGAAAUUGCUGAAAGGGAAACGCUUGAAGUCAGUCGCGUUGUCCAGGGAUCAACCUUGCUUUUGCUUGGUGCACUUCCUGGUUGACGGGUCAGCAUCAAUUUUGACUGUUGGAAAAAGAUCAAGGGAAUGUGGCAUCUCUGGAUGUGUUAUAGCCCUUGGUUGCAUACAAUGGUUGGGAUUGAGGAACUCAGCACGCCGCAAGGCCGGGUUUUAACCACGUACGUGCUAGGA